CUUGGUUCCAUGAUGUGAUUUCGUUGUAUGUACAUUUAUUGUUUCAAUGAAACUCUUAUUCAGUUUGAUGUUUUCUCAUAUGGUUUUGUGCACAAUUGUUUAUUCAUUCAUUUAUUUUGAGAAACAUCAUUAAAGUUUGGACCUUGAAUAAACAUAGGGUUUAUUCAUUAAGCUAUAUGGGAUUGAGAGACAUAAUGCAUUGUAAUACAUGGAAGAUAAUACUCGCUUUUAGAGGACCUGUCGCCAUGAUUCAUGCAUUUUUGUUUCUUGAAAGUGAGAAUUGAUGGGUUUUCGAUAUCAUAUCGAGUGAAAUGUAUGGACCAAGUG
rnacentral:lncRNA from 1 species